rfam:Oryza glumipatula chromosome 10, whole genome shotgun sequence.
AAUAAGUGCAGUUUUGCUCUGUUUAUGUCCAAUGUUUGGCCGUUCGUCUUAUUUGAAUUUUUUAUGAUUAGUUGUUACUAGAUGAUAAAACAUGAAUAGUAUUUUAUGUAUGAUUAUUUUUUUAGUUUUUUUAUAAAUUUUUCAAAUAAGAUAGACGGUCAAACGUUGGACACGGAUCCCCACAGUUGCACUUAUU